AGUCGAGAGGCGGAGGUCGUGUUCGAACCACGGACUUUCAUGUCCAUAAAAUCGCGCUCUAGCCACUGAGCCAUCUCGCC
rnacentral:tRNA from 11 species